GCCCCUUCUCGCCAUGAGAGUCGAUCUAUUAUUGUCGUCCGAGAAGAAUGAGAUCAGUCUCCAUGCGGGUGGAGAUUAGACGGUGUUUUUGUGGUGACGAUGGUGGGGAUGGUGAUGGUGUGGUGUGACGACGGUAUGGUGACAAUGGAAAGACAGAUCUAGAGUUUUUGGUUAGAUCCGGCUGGGCGGAGAAAGUCGCG
rnacentral:lncRNA from 1 species